rnacentral:rRNA from 1 species
GAUGAACGCUGGCGGCGUGCCUAAUACAUGCAAGUCGAGCGAACAGACGAGGAGCUUGCUCCUCUGACGUUAGCGGCGGACGGGUGAGUAACACGUGGAUAACCUACCUAUAAGACUGGGAUAACUUCGGGAAACAGUAUCUAAUACCGGAUAAUAUAUUGAACCGCAUGGUGCCAUAGUGAAAGACGGUUUUUGUGACACUUAUAGAUGGAUCCGGCCCUCCUUAAGUAGUUGGUAAGGUAACGGAUUACCAAGGCAACGAUGGAUAGCCGCCCAGAGCGGGUGAUCCGCCACCCUGGAAGUGAGACACGGCCCAGACUCCUGCGGGAGGCAGCAGUCGGGAAUCUUCCGCAAAGGACCAAAGCCUAAUGUAGCAACGCCGCGUGAGUGAUGAAGGUGUUCGGACCCUAAAACUCUGUUAUUAGGGAAGAACAAAUGUGUAAGUAACUAUGCACGUAUUGACGGUACCUAAUCAGAAAGCCACGGCUAACUACGUG